GUGGCUCAACUGGAUAGAGUACCUGACUACGAAUCAGGCGGUUGUAGGUUCGAAUCCUAC
rnacentral:tRNA from 1 species